rnacentral:lncRNA from 1 species
GAGUACUUUGUCUUUGUAAGAGGAUAGCUACGAGAAAGUUACACUUUCAAAAUACAAAAAUUGUUAGUUUUAUCUACCGUAACCAUCCGUAUCCGGGUCGGCUUCCUGUCCUAAUAGCAGCCGUUGGAACCAGUUCAGAUUGUAAGGAGGGACACCAAAUUCGAACAGGCUCUUGCCGAUAUUUGGUUCGAAGAAUUAUCAGUUUCCUCGGUGCUCUAGCUCAAGGUCAAGGUCAAGGUCAUCCACCGAUCAUCUGUUACAACCUCAUCGGUUCCUUAAUUAGGUUUUAACUUUGAAUAAACUUCAUUGACUAAUUCAAGUCUCUUCACGUUGUUAACAUACAUUUUCCUCAGACUCGGGUUUUAAUUCAAAAUUGAACAUGGAAAAGUAAGAUAUAAAGGUUGUCAAUGCAAUUUAAAUAGAUACAUUAUUUGGAACUUGAGUUGAUUGUGUACAGUAUCUUACUCUAUGAUACGAGAACAAUGUGAUAUGUGAUAUGCAUUCCCUAGUUUCUUUUUUGGCAUUCAGUGCCAUGGAUCCUCAAAUAAUUUAGAUCUGUAAUAAAUUGUUGGUUCAACUAAUUUAGUGCAUGGUUAAUUAAGUAUAUAGUAGUAGAUGUUGGUUUGAGUCUUGAAAAUCUGGUGCCUCAAUUCUUUUCUAUUUGAUUAUGGACAAUGGUGUGAUUAUGG